CUCGUAGCUUGCUAUGAGAACAAUUAGUGGCAGACGGGUGAGUAAUGCAUAGGAAUCUACCUAGUAGUAUAGGAUAGCCACUAGAAAUGGUGGGUAAUACUGUAUAAUCCCUGCGGGGGAAAGAUUUAUCGCUACAUGAUGAGCCUAUGUUAGAUUAGCUAGUUGGUGGGGUAACGGCCUACCAAGGCAGUGAUCUAUAGCUGGUCUGAGAGGAUGAUCAGCCACACUGGAACUGAGACACGGUCCAGACUCCUACGGGAGGCAGCAGUGGGGAAUAUUGGACAAUGGGCGCAAGCCUGAUCCAGCUAUGCCGCGUGAGUGAGGAAGGCCUUAGGGUUGUAAAACUCUUUCAGUGGGGAAGAUAAUGACGGUACCCACAGAAGAAGUCCCGGCAAACUCCGUGCCAGCAGCCGCGGUAAUACGGAGGGGGCAAGCGUUGUUCGGAAUUAUUGGGCGUAAAGGGCAUGUAGGUGGUUUGGUAAGUUAAAGGUGAAAUGCCAGGGCUUAACCCUGGAGCUGCUUUUAAUACUGCCAGACUGGAGUCCGGGAGA
rnacentral:rRNA from 1 species